UGCCCCAUGGCUGAGUUGGUUACAGCGUCCGACUGUUACUCCUUGCUGUGUACGGCAUCGGAAGGUCGUGAGUUCGAGCCUCACUGGGGCAG